ACCUUUAUCACUGUGAUGGACUGUGCCGGACGGUCGACGGGCCCAUAACGCCUGCUCCAGAGCAUCCAGCACGAAUGUCGUUUCCAUAGACGAUGAGACCCGCCACCCCACGAUGUAUCCGGCAAACACAUCAAUGAUGAACGCCACAUAGACGACCCCCUNNNNNNNNNNGGCUCACCUAGGCGACGAUCCCUAGCUGGUCUGAGAGGAUGACCAGCCACACUGGAACUGAGACACGGUCCAGACUCCUACGGGAGGCAGCAGUGGGGAAUAUUGCACAAUGGGCGCAAGCCUGAUGCAGCCAUGCCGCGUGUAUGAAGAAGGCCUUCGGGUUGUAAAGUACUUUCAGCGGGGAGGAAGGGAGUAAAGUUAAUACCUUUGCUCAUUGACGUUACCCGCAGAAGAAGCACCGGCUAACUCCGUGCCAGCAGCCGCGGUAAUACGGAGGGUGCAAGCGUUAAUCGGAAUUACUGGGCGUAAAGCGCACGCAGGCGGUUUGUUAAGUCAGAUGUGAAAUCCCCGGGCUCAACCUGGGAACUGCAUCUGAUACUGGCAAGCUUGAGUCUCGUAGAGGGGGGUAGAAUUCCAGGUGUAGCGGUGAAAUGCGUAGAGAUCUGGAGGAAUACCGGUGGCGAAGGCGGCCCCCUGGACGAAGACUGACGCUCAGGUGCGAAAGCGUGGGGAGCAAACAGGAUUAGAUACCCUGGUAGUCCACGCCGUAAACGAUGUCGACUUGGAGGUUGUGCCCUUGAGGCGUGGCUUCCGGAGCUAACGCGUUAAGUCGACCGCCUGGGGAGUACGGCCGCAAGGUUAAAACUCAAAUGAAUUGACGGGGGCCCGCACAAGCGGUGGAGCAUGUGGUUUAAUUCGAUGCAACGCGAAGAACCUUACCUGGUCUUGACAUCCACGGAAGUUUUCAGAGAUGAGAAUGUGCCUUCGGGAACCGUGAGACAGGUGCUGCAUGGCUGUCGUCAGCUCGUGUUGUGAAAUGUUGGGUUAAGUCCCGCAACGAGCGCAACCCUUAUCCUUUGUUGCCAGCGGUCCGGCCGGGAACUCAAAGGAGACUGCCAGUGAUAAACUGGAGGAAGGUGGGGAUGACGUCAAGUCAUCAUGGCCCUUACGACCAGGGCUACACACGUGCUACAAUGGCGCAUACAAAGAGAAGCGACCUCGCGAGAGCAAGCGGACCUCAUAAAGUGCGUCGUAGUCCGGAUUGGAGUCUGCAACUCGACUCCAUGAAGUCGGAAUCGCUAGUAAUCGUGGAUCAGAAUGCCACGGUGAAUACGUUCCCGGGCCUUGUACACACCGCCCGUCACACCAUGGGAGUGGGUUGCAAAAGAAGUAGGUAGCUUAACCUUCGGGAGGGCGCUUACCACUUUGUGAUUCAUGACUGGGGUGAAGUCGUAACAAGGUAACCGUAGGGGAACCUGCGGUUGGAUCACCUCCUUA
rnacentral:rRNA from 1 species